AAAUCCGUCGAAUUUUUAAAUCGUGAGGGUUCAAGUCCYUCUAUCCCCA
rnacentral:tRNA from 1 species